rnacentral:rRNA from 1 species
AAUAGGGCCGGAUUGGGAUAUCCCGAAAUUAAAAGAUCUAAGGGAUUAUGAGCUAUUAGACAAAUAUAAAAUACUGUAGCAUUAGUAUAUCUCAAAUAAUACCUUAGUGGCGAAAGGCCUCCACUUUUAUUGAUAGCUGGAUAAAUGUUAAAUAUAUUAAGUUUAUAAGAAAUUUACAAAGUUAUAAGAUUUUGUAGGCAGAAUUUGGUGUAUUACUAACAAGGGCUAUUAACUAAUACUUUACAGCAAUACCGUUGGCUAUAAUGUUAUUACUUACUUAAUUCUAUCUUAACAUUUCCUUUAGCAUAGUUAGUCCCAUAAAUUAAUAAUGUAUAAAUGAGUAUAUAUAUAAAUUUAUCUAAAUGAACUCGGCAAACUAUAUAUACGACUGUUUAUCAAAAACAUAGCCGGUAGCUAGCACUUAUUAUCGGUGUAACCUGCCCGGUGAUAUUUUAACGGCCGCAGUACCAUGACUGUGCAAAGGUAGCAUAAUCAUUUGGCUUUUAAUUGGAGUCUGGUAUGAAAGGAUUCACGUAUAUAAGCUGUAUUAGGUAUAAACUCAUAAAAUUUAUUUAUAGGGUGAAAAUACCCUAGAUAAUAAAAAUAGACGAGAAGACCCUUAGAAUUUUAAGAAGAGCCGUGAAUUUACAUGGUAAAAUUUUUGUUGGGGCAACAAUAUUUCAGUAAAAUAAAUAUAAAGUUCAUUAAAUAUAACGAAGUAGUUUAAUCAAGUAAAAAUUACCUUAGGGAUAACAGCAUAAUUUUAAGUAAAGAUUGUGACCUCGAUGUUGGACUAGGAACUAUUAAGGCUAGUCGUUUUAAUAAAAUAAGUUCUGUUCGAACUUUGUUUCCUA